rnacentral:rRNA from 1 species
GGCGGCGUGCCUAAUACAUGCAAGUAGAACGCUGAAGGAGGAGCUUGCUUCUCCGGAUGAGUUGCGAACGGGUGAGUAACGCGUAGGUAACCUGCCUGGUAGCGGGGGAUAACUAUUGGAAACGAUAGCUAAUACCGCAUAAGAGUAGAUGUUGCAUGACAUUUGCUUAAAAGGUGCAAUUGCAUCACUACCAGAUGGACCUGCGUUGUAUUAGCUAGUUGGUGGGGUAACGGCUCACCAAGGCGACGAUACAUAGCCGACCUGAGAGGGUGAUCGGCCACACUGGGACUGAGACACGGCCCAGACUCCUACGGGAGGCAGCAGUAGGGAAUCUUCGGCAAUGGACGGAAGUCUGACCGAGCAACGCCGCGUGAGUGAAGAAGGUUUUCGGAUCGUAAAGCUCUGUUGUAAGAGAAGAACGAGUGUGAGAGUGGAAAGUUCACACUGUGACGG